CAGCCGCCGCGGUAACACGGAGGGGGCUAGCGUUGUUCGGAAUUACUGGGCGUAAAGCGCACGUAGGCGGCUUGGUAAGUUAGAGGUGAAAGCCCAGGGCUCAACCCUGGAAUUGCCUUUAAGACUGCCGAGCUAGUAGGUGAGAGAGGUAAGUGGAAUUCCGAGUGUAGAGGUGAAAUUCGUAGAUAUUCGGAAGAACACCAGUGGCGAAGGCGGCUUACUGGCUCAUUCUAGACGCUGAGGUGCGAAAGCGUGGGGAGCAAACAGGAUUAGAUACCCCGGUAGUCCCUGUCUCUUAUAC
rnacentral:rRNA from 1 species